CGCAAAAAUAUAACAGAUAAAAUAUAGUUUUAGUUAUGAUUGUGUUACCUUUGUAUAGGGACAGCAGGUGCUGCAUCAGGUAUUUUAUAGUAGGCUGGAAGUUUCAAACAAUACAAAAAUUGGGCCCGAUCAUUAAGUUACAUCUUUAAGAUAUUGCAAAACAGAUGUUUAAAGGAUAAUGACAACAUACAUGAUGGUAAAGAUGGUGGACCUCUGCCAUAUCUGUUGUAAGCAACCACUCUGAAC